AAUGAACGCUGGCGGCAUGCCUAACACAUGCAAGUCGAACGAAGGCUUCGGCCUUAGUGGCGCACGGGUGCGUAACGCGUGGGAAUCUGCCCUUGGGUUCGGAAUAACAGUUAGAAAUGACUGCUAAUACCGGAUGAUGUCGUAAGACCAAAGAUUUAUCGCCCAAGGAUGAGCCCGCGUAGGAUUAGCUAGUUGGUGAGGUAAAAGCUCACCAAGGCGACGAUCCUUAGCUGGUCUGAGAGGAUGAUCAGCCACACUGGGACUGAGACACGGCCCAGACUCCUACGGGAGGCAGCAGUGGGGAAUAUUGGACAAUGGGCGAAAGCCUGAUCCAGCAAUGCCGCGUGAGUGAUGAAGGCCUUAGGGUUGUAAAGCUCUUUUACCCGGGAUGAUAAUGACAGUACCGGGAGAAUAAGCUCCGGCUAACUUCGUGCCAGCCGCCGCCGUAACAC
rnacentral:rRNA from 1 species